CUGAUGAGACGGUGUAUGAGUAGGUCAGUGUGUGUUUUGCUCCAAUUCUCUCUUUGGAUGAAUGUGUGUGUUUGGGUCCUCAGUAAGAAUGCAGGUGUGUUUUCUUCUCCUCCUGAUACAGCUUCAUAUCACUGAAGGCUGCAGGCUGGAAGGAAAGAAAGACUUAAUAGAAAUCACUGCAUACACAGGAGGCUCAGUACUGCUGCCCUGCUCCUGCACUGACCUCCACACCACACCUGAGACAUUCACAUGGGAGAAAUACAUAACAAAUGAAAAGAAAUGGGUAAAGAUAUCUCCUGAGAGUGAGCAGUACAAAGAGAGAUUUCAGCUGGUUAAUGAUCGCUCUUCAGGAAAUCUCUCUCUGCUCAUAUCACACCUGACUGAAGAGGAUGGAGGAGAUUACAGGUGUAGUGUUAAAGGGAGUCAAUACAGAGACCUCAGACUCACUGUUAAAGGUUGCACACUGAAUCAACCGACAGUGACUGUGACUGGAUACGUGGGACAGUCUGUCCUUCUGCCCUGCUCCUGCUCUGAACUACAAGCCAAACCACACACUUUCACAUGGACGUUUUUAAAUGAUUCUCCUCACAAAGAAAUCUUCCCAAAGGACCAGACAAAUCUCUACACAAACAGAGUUCAGCUCUUUAAUGAUCAUCUUCCAGGAAAUCUCUCUCUGCUCAUAUCACACCUGACUGUAGAGGAUGGAGGACGGUACAGGUGUAGGAUCAGGAACAGAAUCUCAGACGUCCAUCUCACAGUAAGAGGGGCAGUGAAGGCGAGCUACAUCAUCGCCUGGGAGAUCGCAAAAGUGUCCAAGCCAUUUUCGGAGGGUGCAUUCGUCAAGGAUAAAUACGCAUCUGUUGGAAUCCAAUCUUUCUAUCAGUCAUUGCCACCAGAGUACCCAAUUAUCACGGCCUUUGCCGGUAAAAUACUCUGUAUGUUCGGGACAACAUAUUUAUGUGAACAGGCAUUUUCAGUAAUGAAUAUUAAUAAAUCGAAACUGCGUAGUCGUCUGACCCAUGGACAUCUCAACGAUGUCAUGAAAAUAGCAACUGCCCAGAGUCUGUCCCCCAAUGUCGACAAGCUGGUAAAAAGUAAAAGACUUCUGGCUUCCACAUGUAAAAUGUAGCUGGUAUUUCUCCCCAUGUAACCUUGUGCUGUGUGCUUGAGGGGGAAUAAACAGGAUGGGUGUGUGGAAAUAUAUGUGGGACUUGACCAGCAAAGUUAAUGUGCCAUCUGUAGUUUGUUUUUAUUGGUAUGUUCUGUUUUUAUUGGUAUGUUCAGUCAUAUUUGGCUCUUUUAAACUAAUGCUACUGGAUAUUUAGUCACUUGACCUAUUGGUGGAAUUAUUUACCCUGGCACUUCUUUCUUUUGACUCGUUUAGGCCUACUUGCCAAUCGUUUUAAUUGGCCUAAUUAGGCCUAUGCAUUGACAUGUUUUUGAUGUGCAAGAUCAAUAAAUCUGAUCCAAGUCAUUUACAGUUUACACUUGUGUUAUUUGUGUUUUAGUCCAUUUCUGUAGCAUUUUUUUUAUAAAUGUAGGCUACUUGCAUGCUUAGACUGUUACAUUUUCAGAGGGUAAAUUGCUUUUGUCUGCCAUGUUAUUGUGCGCCUCAUUUUGAGGCUAUAGCUUUACAAUUCCUUUUGGGCGUAUAGGCCUUCAAAAAUCAUAUAAAAUAAUGUCCUUUUGUUGAGUUAGUGUCUGGUCUUUUCAGGCCAAAAGUGUAAUUCGGCCCCCAAGGUCCCACUUGAAAAAAAUCUGGCCCCCUUACCAAUUUCACCCUGGCACCCUAAACCUUUCUCUCCUUGCACACACACCGACAAAACCUUCAACAUCCUCACCAGUGACCAGAACAACUUCACCUCAUUCCAAACCAGGUACCACACACCACUGAUACACACUGGAAUGAAAAGGGCUUAUUAGUGUGUUAGUACAUCAGCUCACAGCAAGAAUCACACACUAACUUUAUCUGGUCUUUCACUUUCUGCAGGUGUCACAACAACAAAAAAAUUAACCCCAGUGGUUAAUGACAAAACAACUGCACCCUCUGAAACAGAGACUCCCACAAACCUGAAUCCUCGCAUCAUCA